AACGCGAAGAACCUUACCUGGUCUUGACAUAGUAAGAACUUUCCAGAGAUGGAUUGGUGCCUUCGGGAACUUACAUACAGGUGCUGCAUGGCUGUCGUCAGCUCGCGUCGUGAGAUGUUGGGUUAAGUCCCGCAACGAGCGCAACCCUUUUCCUUAUUUGCCAGCGGGUUAAGCCGGGAACUUUAAGGAUACUGCCAGUGACAAACUGGAGGAAGGCGGGGACGACGUCAAGUCAUCAUGGCCCUUACGACCAGGGCUACACACGUGCUACAAUGGUCGGUACAAAGGGUUGCUACUCCGCGAGGAGAUGCUAAUCUCAGAAAGCCGAUCGUAGUCCGGAUCGCAGUCUGCAACUCGACUCCAUGAAGUCGGAAUCGCUAGUAAUCGUGGAUCAGAAUGCCACGGUGAAUACGUUCCCGGGUCUUGUACACACCG
rnacentral:rRNA from 1 species